rnacentral:rRNA from 1 species
CAGCCGCCGCGGUAAUACCAGCUCUCCGAGUGGUGUGGAUGUUUAUUGGGCCUAAAGCAUCCGUAGCUGGCUAAGUUAGUCCCCUGUUAAAUCCAACGAAUUAAUCGUUGGAUCGCGGGGGAUACUGCUUGGCUAGGGGACGAGAGAGGCAGACGGUAUUUCCGGGGUAGGGGUGAAAUCCUAUAAUCCCGGGAAGACCACCAGUGGCGAAGGCUGUCUGCUAGAACGCGCCCGACGGUGAGGGAUGAAAGCUGGGGGAGCGAACCGGAUUAGAUACCCGGGUAGUCCCAGCUGUAAACGAUGCAGGCUAGGUGUUUGGACGGCCACGUGCCGUUCUAGUGCCGCAGGGAAGCUGUUAAGCCUGCCGCCUGGGGAGUACGAUCGCAAGAUUGAAACUUAAAGGAAUUGGCGGGGGAGCACCACAAGGGGUGAAGCUUGCGGUUUAAUUGGAGUCAACGCCGGAAAUCUCACCGGGAGCGACAGCAGUGUGAAGGCCAGAUUAAAGGUCUUGCCAGACGAGCUGAGAGGUGGUGCAUGGCC